UACGUAGGGCGCAAGCGUUGUCCGGAAUUAUUGGGCGUAAAGAGCUCGUAGGCGGCUUGUCACGUCGGUUGUGAAAGCCCGGGGCUUAACCCCGGGUCUGCAGUCGAUACGGGCAGGCUAGAGUGUGGUAGGGGAGAUCGGAAUUCCUGGUGUAGCGGUGAAAUGCGCAGAUAUCAGGAGGAACACCGGUGGCGAAGGCGGAUCUCUGGGCCAUUACUGACGCUGAUGCGCGAAAGCUAGGGGAGCGAACGGG
rnacentral:rRNA from 1 species